GAUGAACGCUGGCGGCGUGCCUAAUACAUGCAAGUCGAGCGAAGAGACGAGGCGCUUGCUCCUCUGACGUUAGCGGCGGACGGGGGAGUAGAACGUGGAUAACCUACCUAUAAGACUGGGAUAAAUUCGGGAAACCGGAGCGAAUACCGGCGAAAAUAUUGAACAGCAUAGUUUAAUAGUGUAAUCCAGUUUUGCUGUCACUUAUACAUGGAUCCGCACCGAAGUAGCUAGUUGGUAAGGUAACGGAUUACCAAGGCCACGAUGCGUAGCCGAACUGAGAGGAUGAUCGGCCACACUAGAACUGAGACGCGGUCCAGACUCCUAAGGGAGGCAGCAGUAGGGAAUCUUCCGCAAUGGGCGAAAGCCUGACGGAGCAACGCCGCGUGAGUGAUGAAGGUCUUCGGAGCGUAAAACUCUGUUAUUAGGGAAGAACAAAUGUGUAAGUAACUAUGCACGUCUUGACGGUACCUAAUCAGAAAGCCACGGCUAACUACGUG
rnacentral:rRNA from 1 species